rnacentral:lncRNA from 1 species
AGUGCUGAUCUGAUGCCUGUUCCAGAAACAUCUGUGCCUGACCUUCAAGUAAUCUUUCUAGAUUUAAUCCCUUUGUUUUAUAUAAUCCUGCUCACUGUCUUCACCUCAAAAAUGCACCAUGUCCCCAUUGUGUCAGUGUUUGUUUUCAGGAGUCUUUGUGUUCAUCAUAAAUUCUGCUCUCUAUGUCUCUAGUAACUGGUCUUCAUCCACAUUUUCUGUUCUCUGCAGGCUUGUAUUUAUAAAACAGAACUGAACUAGCUGGUAGCAUUUACUCUGGAAUGAAGGAUGGAACUGACCACACAUCAACCCUUUAAAUGCCUCAAGAACAUCCUGAUCCAGGAGCAAGAAAACACUUUGGACCAGCAAGCAAUCUUGUUGGAGUAAACGUUCUGCAAUUUGGGAUCUGCAAAUCUCUGAAUUUGGUGUCUUUUCUCUAUUAUCUGGAGGUUUUCUCUGGUUUUAUCCUGGCUUCAUUCCUUGUCUGUCUGGCUUCCUGGUUUAUUCCGUCUUGGUUCUCUGAAUAUCUGUGCUUGCUCAUUUGUUGAGCUGCAUUUUGGACCUGGGUGCAAGCCUUCUUUUGCAGGUUACCUUCCCUUUCUGACACUCAAGCACUGGACCCAGCCAUUGCCAUUUUCCAGUUCCUCAGGGAGCAACAUAUUUUCUAAAACAAAAAAAAGCAAAGUAUUUAAAAACCUAUAUUUACAGAAAUAUGGCAUCUUAAUCUUUAUUUUUACAUGACUGGUUAGAAGUUAUAGUUUUAAAAAUCUAAGUAGUAAAUACUGCCUACUUAAAAGUAGUUCUACAUUAGAAAUCCUGUUUAUCUUGGAGAUUUUAAUAAUUAAAUAUUUUAAAAUUACUAUACCAUAGACCAAAUUUUAGCAAUUAAAUAAGGAUUAUCAAAAAGGAUGAUUUAACCAUCAGAAAGAUACUAAAAUCACACAUAACUGUGUGAGAAAAAAAUCAUCUUCAAGCUAUGUAUUAAAUUAAAGCAAAAUUUAAUUUCAAUGAUGACGAUGAUGAUGAUGAUAAUGAUGGUGAUGAUAAACUAAUCUGGCAUCUAUUAAUACAAUGCUAAGUUUAGUUCAGCUAAUGUUCUUCUUACUUGACAUUCUCAAAUAUGGCAUGAUGAAGUUAUUUUUCACUUUGGCUUCAGCUAAAAUGAUUCUUUCCAGUUUUCAGGAGAAAACAUUUGCCAGGAAACAGAUUAUACUGUCCAACUUCUAAUGAGUUACUAUGAUCAGUGAGCCAAUUUUUC